UACGAAGGGUGCAAGCGUUACUCGGAAUUACUGGGCGUAAAGCGUGCGUAGGUGGUGAUUUAAGUCUGUUGUGAAAGCCCUGGGCUCAACCUGGGAAUUGCAGUGGAAACUGGGUCACUAGAAUGUGGUAGAGGGUAGCGGAAUUCCUGGUGUAGCAGUGAAAUGCGUAGAGAUCAGGAGGAACAUCCGUGGCGAAGGCGGCUACCUGGACCAACAUUGACACUGAGGCACGAAAGCGUGGGGAGCAAAC
rnacentral:rRNA from 1 species